rnacentral:misc_RNA from 1 species
AACGCAUAUUGCGCUCUUUGGUAUUCCGAAGAGCAUGCUUGUUUGAGUAUCAGUAAACACCUCAAAGCCUUUUUUUUGUUAAAAGGCCUUGGACUUGAGCAAUCCCAACACUUUUCCUCCAAGAAAAGUGGCGGGUUGCUUGAAAUGCAGGUGCAGCUGGACAUUCUCCUGAGCUAAAAGCAUAUUCAUUUAGUCCCGUCAAACGGAUUAUUACUUUUGCUGCAGCUAACAUAAAGGGAGUUUGACCAUUUUGGCUGACUGAUGCAGGAUUUUCACAAGAGUCUUCAAAAGCUUUUGUUAAACUCGAUCUCAAAUCAAGUAAGACUACCCGCUGAACUUAA